GCUUGUCUCAAAGAUUAAGCCAUGCAUGUCUAAGUAUAAAUAUCUAUACUGUGAAACUGCGUAUGGCUCAUUAAAUCAGUUAUAGUUUAUUUGAUGAUACCCCACUACAUGGAUAACCGUAGUAAUUCUAGAGCUAAUACAUGCGUCAAAUCCCGACUUUUUGGAAGGGAUGUAUUUAUUAGAUAAAAAACCAACCCCUCGGGUUUCUUGGUGAUUCAUAAUAACUUAUCGGAGCUCAUGGCCUUGUGCCGGAGCCAGGUCAUUCAAAUUUCUGCCCUAUCAAUUGGCGAUGGUAGGAUAGAGGCCUACCAUGGUGUUAACGGGUGACGGGGGAUUAGGGUUCGAUUCCGGAGAGGCAGCCUGAGAAACGGCUACCACAUCCAAGGAAGGCAGCAGG
rnacentral:rRNA from 1 species